rnacentral:rRNA from 1 species
GACGAACGCUGGCGGCGUGCUUAGCACAUGCAAGUCGAACGGAAAGGCCCUGCUUUUGUGGGGUGCUCGAGUGGCGAACGGGUGAGUAACACGUGAGUAACCUGCCCUUGACUUUGGGAUAACUUCAGGAAACUGGGGCUAAUACCGGAUAGGAGCCCCUGCUGCAUGGUGGGGGUUGGAAAGUUUCGGCGGUUGGGGAUGGACUCGCGGCUUAUCAGCUUGUUGGUGGGGUAGUGGCUUACCAAGGCUUUGACGGGUAGCCGGCCUGAGAGGGUGACCGGCCACAUUGGGACUGAGAUACGGCCCAGACUCCUACGAGAGGCAGCAGUGGGGAAUAUUGCACAAUGGGCGGAAGCCUGAUGCAGCAACGCCGCGUGCGGGAUGACGGCCUUCGGGUUGUAAACCGCUUUCGCCUGUGACGAAGCGUGAGUGACGGUAAUGGGUAAAGAAGCACCGGCUAACUACGUG